UGGGGAAUCUUGGACAAUGGGCGCAAGCCUGAUCCAGCCAUGCCGCGUGGAUGAUGAAGGCCUUAGGGUUGUAAAAUCCUUUCGUGGGGGACGAUAAUGACGGUACCCCAAGAAGAAGCUCCGGCUAACUUCGUGCCAGCAGCCGCGGUAAUACGAAGGGGGCUAGCGUUGUUCGGAUUUACUGGGCGUAAAGCGCGUGUAGGCGGGUCGUUAAGUUGGGGGUGAAAUCCCGAGGCUCAACCUCGGAACUGCCUUCAAAACUGGCGACCUGGACUCAAGCAGAGGCAAGUGGAAUUGCGAGUGUAGAGGUGAAAUUCGUAGAUAUUCGCAGGAACACCAGUGGCGAAGGCGACUUGCUGGGCUUGUAGUGACGCUGAGACGCGAAAGCGUGGGGAGCAAACAGGAUUAGAUACCCACGUAGUCCCUGAGCGGGCUGGCAAGGCGCAU
rnacentral:rRNA from 1 species